GACGAACGCUGGCGGCGUGCUUAACACAUGCAAGUCGAGCGGAAAGGCCCUUCGGGGUACUCGAGCGGCGAACGGGUGAGUAACACGUGAGUAACCUGCCCCAGACUUUGGGAUAACCCUCGGAAACGGGGGCUAAUACCGGAUACGACACAGCUUCGCAUGGGGUCUGUGUGGAAAGUUCUUCGGUUUGGGAUGGGCUCGCGGCCUAUCAGCUUGUUGGUGGGGUGAUGGCCUACCAAGGCGACGACGGGUAGCCGGCCUGAGAGGGCGACCGGCCACACUGGGCCUGAGACACGGCCCAGACUCCUACGGGAGACAGCAGUGGGGAAUAUUGCACAAUGGGCGGAAGCCUGAUGCAGCGGCGCCGCGUGAGGGAUGACGGCCUUCGGGUUGUAAACCUCUUUCAGCAGGGACGAAGCGUAAGUGACGGUACCUGCAGAAGAAGCGCCGGCCAACUACGUG
rnacentral:rRNA from 1 species